ACAAAAGAACUUGGAGGGUUGUAAACGUUUAUAAACAAACAGAGCCCUUGAAUGUUCACUUUCCAGUGUGGCUGGGCAGGGCUGUUUCUUUGUGCCGGGCUGCUGGGCCAUGGAAUGUGACCUCUCUCUGUGGGAAGAGCCAAGAGCAAGUUUGGCAGGAGGCUCCUGGCUCCCACCCCUGUGCCCCUCAUGCUGAGAUGCUCCAAACAGCGACCAGGAAAGAGGGUUUGGAUAAAAUGCAAGGUGAAGAGGUCCGCUCUGCUGCAGAAUAAUUCCAUGGAAGAAUGGGAAGCAUUAAAUUCAAGAGAGCUAGAGCUGGAAGAGACCUUCCAAAUACACCAACCCG